CUUUAUUAGUAUGAAAUUAUAUUCUAGGGCAUAAGUUAUUGCAGAGUAUGAAAAAAUUUACAGAAAAUGCGAAUAGUUAGUUGCCAUAGUGUAAGUGACAAAGUGAGACAGCUCAUUUUAUGCUUCCCUAUUUAGAAAUUCCCCACUGGCCCAAGCAAACACCUCUCUUCUCAUUGGAGACUCAAAUCCUAUUUCCUCGCCACAUCCAAUAACCACCACACACACAUACCAAUAUCUAAAUAAUAAUAUUAAAUUUCUUUCUUUCUAAAUAUAACCACUUAAGAAACCCCGUCAUAUUUGAUAAUAUUAUUAAAUAAUAG
rnacentral:lncRNA from 1 species